CCUACGGGAGGCAGCAGUGGGGAAUAUUGCACAAUGGGCGAAACCCUGAUGCAGCGACGCCGCGUGAGUGAAGAAGUCUUUCGGUAUGUAAAGCUCUGUCAGCAGGGAAGAAAAUGACGGUAUCUGACCCAGAAGCCCCGCCUAACUACGUGCGAGCAGACGCGGUAAUACGUAGGGGGCAAGCGUUAUCCGGAUUUAUUGGGUGUAAAGGGAGCGUAGACGGCGGGGCAAGUCUGAGGUGAAAGGCGGGGGCUCAACCCCCGGACUGCACUGGUAAAUACGAGGCUGGAGUGUAGGAGAGGUAGGCGGAAUUCCUAGUGUAGCGGUGAAAUGCGUAGAUAUUAGGAGGAACACCAGUGGCGAAGGCGGCUUACUGGACGGUAACUGACGGUGAGGCUCGAAAGCGUGGGGAGCAAACAGGAUUAGAUACCCUGGUAGUC
rnacentral:rRNA from 1 species